UACGUAGGGGGCGAGCGUUGUCCGGAUUUAUUGGGCGUAAAGAGCGUGUAGGCGGCCAGGUAGGUCUGCUGUGAAAACUCGAGGCUCAACCUCGAGACGUCGGCGGAAACCAUCUGGCUAGAGUCCGGAAGAGGAGAGGGGAAUUCCUGGUGUAGCGGUGAAAUGCGCAGAUAUCAGGAAGAACACCCGUGGCUAAGGCGGUUCUCUAGUACGGUACUGACGCUGAGACGCGAAAGCGUGGGGAGCGAACAGG
rnacentral:rRNA from 1 species